rnacentral:rRNA from 1 species
AAUAGAUACCCAGGUAGUCCUGGCCCUAAACGAUGUCCACUAGAUCGUGGCGGCUCUGACGUCGUCACGGUCGAAGCAAAAGUGCUAAGUGGACCGCCUGGGAAGUACGGUCGCAAGGCUAAAACUCAAAGGAAUUGACGGGGGCUCACACAAGCGGUGGAGCAUGUGGUUCAAUUCGAAGCAACGCGCAGAACCUUACCUGGGCUUGACAUGCUAGGAUUAUCUCUAUGAAAGUAGAGUAGGCCCUUCGGGGUACAACUAGUACAGGUGCUGCAUGGCUGUCGUCAGCUCGUGUCGUGAGAUGUCGGGUUAAGUCCCUUAACGAGCGAAACCUUUGCCCUUAGUUACCAGCGGGUUAUGCCGGGGACUCUAAGGGGACUGCCGGUGUCAAACCGGAGGAAGGUGGAGAUGACGUCAAGUCCUCAUGGCCUUUAUGCCCAGGGCCACACACGUGCUACAAUGCGGCGCACAGAGCGAACCGAGAGCGCAAGCUGGAGGAAAUCGCACAAAUCGCCGCCCAGUU